rnacentral:rRNA from 1 species
CAGCCGCCGCGGUAAUACGAAGGGUGCAAGCGUUAAUCGGAAUUACUGGGCGUAAAGCGUGCGUAGGCGGUUUGUUAAGUCUGUUGUGAAAUCCCCGGGCUCAACCUGGGAAUGGCAAUGGAUACUGGCAAGCUAGAGUGUGUCAGAGGAUGGUGGAAUUCCCGGUGUGGCGGUGAAAUGCGUAGAGAUCGGGAGGAACAUCAGUGGCGAAGGCGGCCAUCUGGGACAACACUGACGCUGAGGCGCGAAAGCGUGGGGAGCAAACAGGAUUAGAGACCCCUGUAGUCCCUGUCUCUUAUAC